AGACUGUGUGUAAUGAAUGAAUAUAAUAUACAAGUUUCACUUUUUGAAUGGAAUUAGUGAAAUAAAUCAACUUUUUGAUGAUAUUCUAAUUAUAUGACCAGCACCUGUAUGUAUACAUACAUACGUGUGUGUGUUUGUUUGCUUGUUAGUUAUUUUAAUGCCCAAACAUAAUUAACACUGUAAGAGCAUUACUAAAUAAGUAAAUCUAAAAAUGUAUUUUUUUUUAAAAAAUUUUUUAUAUAUUCUGUAAAUUAUUCUUUUUCUUUUCUGCAUUUCACCUCUGCUAUAGUUUAUUUAUUAUAAACCUGGCAUUGUAUAAUAAAUAUUGUUGGCUCUGUGACAGAUUAUUUAUGUUCCUAGAUUCUUCUACGCUGAUGGCUGUACACUAGAGUUGGAGCGUAUCUCCUGUCGAAGAACAUCUUUAGACAUUAUGAGUCAUAUGACUAGUAAGUAAUACCUCAAACAUACACUACCAUUCAAAAAACGUUUCUUUCCAACGUGCAGAUUAUGUUAUUUUAACACCUAAAUAAAACGUCCUAAAAAAGUUUUAAUAUAGUCUGGUUUCUCGUUGUUGGCCAAAUGUUAAUGUUUUGCAGCUAAAGAAAACAUACACAAUUAGUUUUUGCACAGCGUAUCUUUCUUUCCUGUUUUUUUUUUUUUUUUUUGUAGACUUUGUUAAUUUCUGGAAGAAUCUUAAUUUCUGUGCAUUUUGUUUGACAGAAAUCGCCGUCCAUGGACAGUUGUAGCCUACUGAUCACAAUAUUUUCCAAUUUCCACACACACAAACUUUUGGCCUGGUUGUAUUUUGGUACUGUUUUUACAUUUAUUACGUUAUUUUAACACCUGAAUAUAACAUAUUUCAAAAGUUGCAGUUUGGUCUUGUUUCGUUUGGUCGUAGACAAACGCGAUAUUUAAAUUUUUUUUUACUACUUAAAGAGAACAUUCCAGGUUGGUAUUUUUACAACGUUUUUAAAAUGUUUUAUUUUGGUUACGUUAUUUUUAAAUAUGUUCCCCAUUUGCGGGGAAAUCCCGGCCGCCGUUCGCAGGGAAAUCCCGGCCCACACAAGCCCGCCGUCAGAGAGAAUGGCAAGCCCGCCGUCUAAGAGUAUGGCAAGCCCGCCAGAGAAUCUUAAGUGCCCACCAGUGCCUGCUCCUCGCAAGUGCCCUCCAGUGCCUGCUCCUCGCAAGAGCCCUCCUACGUCUCCGCUGGUCCCAUCCAGCCCUCCUACGUCUCCGCUGGUCCCAUCCAGCUCUCCUACGUCUACGCUGGUCCCGUCCAGCUCCGCGCUUCCAGAGCACCCCCCAGUGCCUGCGCCACGAAGGCGUCUUCCUAUCUUCGCGCUUCCAGGGUGCCCCCAAGAGUCCCCGCUGGUCCCGUCCAGCUCCGCGCUUCCAGAGCGCCCCCAAGAGUCCGCGCUUCCAGAGCGCCCACCAGUGCCUGCGCCACGAAGGCGUCUCCCUAUCUCUGGGCUUCCAGAGCGCCCCCAAGAGUCUGCGCUUCCGGAGCGCCCCCCAGUGCCUGCGCCACGAAGGCGUCUUCCUAUCUCCUUGCUUCCAGAGAGCCCCCAGGAGUCCCCGCUUCCAGAGCGCCCCCAAGAGUCCGCGCUGCCAGAGCGCCCCCAAGAGCCCGCUCCCCCUGAACGCCAGCCUCAAACUACCCCUAAUUGGGGGGGGGUGGAUAGUAGGGCUCCUGCCGUAGAGACCGUGGUGGGGGCUGGGGCCGAGGUCUCGGAGGCAGACCCGCCAUGGCCUCCCGAGUUUUUGUGUUUGCUCGGUAAUCAUUCUGCAUCCUUGAUAUUGAAGGUAAGCACUUGAUAUGUACCUGCUUGUAAUUACUACUGUGGGAUUAUAGAUUAAAAAUAAGUUAUUAGACACUGUGGCGAUGUUUCUAAGCAGGCUUACUUUCCCAGGCUUUAAGCACAUGUGUUGGGCUAAAUUCCGUGUUUUCGUCGAUAUUUGGUGCAUUUAUGUCACAAUUCAAUGCUAGCUACACCUAACCAUUAACUACAUAACUUACGUUAAACCUGAACUCUACCCCAACAAUGGGAAGGGAAAACGGGAGAUAAAGUUAAUGCAGAGUCAAACACACCAUGCACCCGUUUUUCCUGUUUGUAAUUUAAGUUAAUGUAUCUAGCGUAAUGUGCCAUUUUUUAUGAUAUACCUGGGUACAUUUACGUAACUUGGCCUAUCGGUUAAAUCCGAAACACCAGAAGUUAAUGUUGAAUCAAUGUACACUUCUCAUCGCUCUUUUCAGUCUAGCUAACAUUUAUAGAGUUUUUAUUAAUAAAUCUAAAAAAUAAAAUAAAAUAAAAUAGAAAAAUAAAAAAUAUAUAUUUUUCUAUUUCAUUAUUAUUAUUAUUGUUUUAGAUUUCGUUUAGUGUGCCAAGUAGGGACUGUUGUUGUUAUUAGCUAAAUUAACUAACGUUGGCCUGGCCCUUCGUGUGUGUAUAUCGGUGAAAUAUUACUACAACGUUCUACAACUAGACAUUUCUGUCUUUUCAAACUUAAUAGAGUUCCAAAAUGCCACAAUGCUACCCAGCUUAUUGAAUACAGUAUGCAAAAAUUGUCAAGUAAUAUAUAUGAUGCAGUCGACCAUAUAUUUGAAAUGUCCUAACAAAUUGCAGGUAAAGUUAUGAAUGAAUAGGUAUGCAUGUUUUUUUUUAGGGAAAAAAAAAUAUUAGGGAAUAUAGUUAUAAACAUAAGUAAAACUCUUGAUAUUUAGUAACAGCAGCCAGUAACGUUAGUGGUAAUUUUCUUUGGCCCAGUUUUUAAAGUCAGUCUUUGAAAUUAGGAGAAUACUGCUUGUUGUGUGUUUUUCUGUUUUCUGGCCUUAGCAUACACAUUAGGGUAAAUCAGUUGCAGUUUUGCAGGUUAACUUUAUACACUUUUAUUUUUUUUUUCACAGCGGAAAUGUUCCUUUUUUUUUAUUCAAAAAAAGAAAUAGGCUACAUCACAAUAUAAAGCUGUCCCCAUGCUCUUCUGGUGUGAACUUCACCUUUAUUACAUGGUAAGUAGUUUUUUCUUAACAAUCACAUACAGAAUUGUCAAACUAACUAUCCUUGAACUUUCCUUUUCUUUCUCUUUCAGUGACAUGUAUGUGGCAGUGUGUUGCAAAGGAGAGUUAUUGAUAGGGAGUUCUUGCGGAUUUCAUCUGUACCACUGCUUUCUAUGUUCUUCACUGAGCUUGACCAGAACUGAGCACGAUUGAUGGAGAUCUUCAGUAGAAAAGGCGGGCAAUCAGGAAAAGAAAAAAAAAAAAAAUCACACAGAUCAUGGUUUCCAUCUCCAAGGAUGACACUAUGCAUACCAGAAGAGCCUGUGUCAUCAAGUCUCUGUGCACCUACUUGAAUGAAGACCCUGAAAAACUAGUGAAAGCAUAUUUGGAUUCAGACAUUGAGUCACAAAGUACCAUGGAGCAAACUGUGAUGGGAGUGUAUGUCAUACUGAAGGAGGGAGUGCUGCCUGACGAUGACCCACAGGACACUGGUGUCCUAAUUGAAGGUGUGGAAAUCCUCAGUGACUUGAGUAGCAUUUCACAGGCUUGUGCUCUAUUAUUUGGAUUCAUAUACUGUUUGAACCUGAGCUACCCACCAUGCACUUUUGAAGUCUUGCAGAAGAUCUUUCUAAAUCUAAAUGGACAGAGGUUGUCAUCCAAGGCACAGUUCCUCAAAAACAAGCUACUGGAGCAAGUGAGCUUGAGCAAGACUGGUGUACAUCAGACUAUCUCUUUUUUAUUAUUAUUAUUUUACAGCUCAAAAAAUUGUUACACUCACAAUUGUUUCUUUUAUGUUAUGUUCAUUCAUGUUUACGUUUUUAAAUGUUAUUUUUUGUGUGUCAGGCCAAGGUUUACCUUACAAAUUCCCAAAAAGGGUAGUGUUAAAAUGGCUUAAUUUUGAAGAAGUUUUAAGACCAAAAGGGCUUUAAAGUCCUACAAGCGUUGCUUGGGGAUCAGUUUUCUCAAGAGCCAAGAUUUUGUUGGCUAAAUGUUUCUUAUACAUUGUGUUACAAACACUCAAAUG